rnacentral:rRNA from 1 species
AUUGAACGCUGGCGGCAUGCCUUACACAUGCAAGUCGAACGGCAGCGGGCCUUCGGGUGCCGGCGAGUGGCGAACGGGUGAGUAAUGCAUCGGAACGUGCCAUUGAGUGGGGGAUAACGUAGCGAAAGUUACGCUAAUACCGCAUAUUCUGUGAGCAGGAAAGCAGGGGACCGCAAGGCCUUGCGCUCUUUGAGCGGCCGAUGUCAGAUUAGCUAGUUGGUGAGGUAAAGGGCUUACCAAGGCGACGAUCUGUAGCGGGUCUGAGAGGAUGAUCCGCCACACUGGAACUGAGACACGGUCCAGACUCCUACGGGAGGCAGCAGUGGGGAAUAUUGCACAAUGGGCGCAAGCCUGAUGCAGCGACGCCGCGUGGGGGAUGACGGCC